rnacentral:rRNA from 13 species
CACCAGGUUGAUUCUGCCUGACGUGUGCGCUAGUCUUGGGGACUUAGCCAUGCAAGCCAGCGAAGCGGCGCGGAGCGGCGGACGGCUCAGUAGGACGGCGAUAAUCCACCCGCAGCAGAGACAAGGAUAACCGCGGCAAGCUGCGGCUAAGACAUGGACAGGCUGCGGCGCGGGGAGGCGCGGGCAGCGGACAGGGAGCGGCUGCGGCGGAGUUGCUGGCCCAUCAGCUGGUAGGUAGGGUAAGGGCCUACCUAGGCGACGACGGGUGACGGGGGGUGAGAGCCCGGAACCGGAGAGGGAGCCUGAGAAACAGCUCCCACGUCCAAGGACGGCAGCAGGCGCGGAACUUGCCCAAUCCCGGCGGGGGAGGCAGCCACAAGACGUGGGGGCCCGGAACGCACGGCAAAGGAGUGCGGGGCGACUGGAGGGCAAGUCUGGUGCCAGCAGCCGCGGUAAUUCCAGCUCCAGGAGCGCACAUGAGUGUUGCUGCAGUUAAAACGUCCGUAGUCGGCCCGGGCGCGCUGUGAGGAAACCGCGGGGCCCAAGGCGGCGGGCAGCACGGGAGCGGGGGCGACAGGAACGGACAACGGCCGCGGGAUCCGGGGGCGAGAGGUGAAAAUCGGGGACCCCGCGGGGACGGGCGGAAGCGAAGGCGGCGGCCGGGGACGUGUCCGUUGAUCAAGGACGAAGGCCGGAGGAUCAAAGAUGAUUAGAUACCGUCGUAGUUCCGGCAGUAAACGAUGCCGACGGGGCGAGGCCAGGGGGCUGUGUCCGGGAGAAAUUGGAGUGUUUGGGCUCUGGGGAUAGUACGGUCGCAAGACAGAAACUUAAAGAAAUUGACGGAAGGACACCACAAGGAGUGGAGUGUGCGGCUUAAUUUGACUCAACGCGGGGCAGCUUACCAGGGCCGGAUGCGCGGGAGAUUGGCGGCGGAGCGCCCCCGAGAUUGCGCAGGGAGUGGUGCAUGGCCGUUUGCAACACGUGGGGUGACCUGUCUGGUUGAUUCCGACAACGCGUGAGGCCUGGGGUGCAGCAGGGGCUGUGCGACGGGCGGCGGCAAGCUGCAGGAGGGCAGGCGAAAACAGGUCAGUGAUGCCCUCAGAUGCUCUGGGCUGCACGCGCACUACAAUGGCGCGGCGAGCGGGAGUGCCGGGAGGCGCGGGCGAGGCCGUGGCGCAGCAGGGAUGGGGGCCUGGAAGGGUGCCCUGAACGAGGAAUUCCUAGUAGCCGCGGGUCACCAAGCCGCGGCGAAUGAGUCCCUGUUCUUUGUACACACCGCCCGUCACUACCUAAGAUGGAUGUGCAGGCGAGGAGGCUGGGCAGGCACCCGAGCCUGUGCAACUAGAUAAGGUAUAAGUCGUAACAAGGCUGCAGUAGGUGAACCUGCGGCAGGAUCACUA